CUGGUUGAUCCUGCCAGUAGUCAUAUGCUUGUCUCAAAGAUUAAGCCAUGCAUGUCUAAGUACAUACUUUUACAUAGUGAAACCGCGAAUGGCUCAUUAAAUCAGUUAUGGUUCCUUAGAUCGUACAAUCCUACUUGGAUAACUGUGGUAAUUCUAGAGCUAAUACAUGAAACAAACCGCUCCGACCUCGCGGAAGGAGCGCGUUUAUUAGAUCAAAACCAGUCGGGUGUCAAAGCCCGCAAAUUGGCGAAGCUGGAUAACUUUGUGCUGAUCGCACGGCCUCGCGCCGGCGACGUAUCUUUCAAAUGUCUGACCUAUCAACUUUCGAUGGUACGUGAUAUGCCUACCAUGGUUAUAACGGGUAACGGGGAAUCAGGGUUUGGCUCCGGAGAGGGAGCAUGAGAAAUGGCUACCGCAUCUACGGAAGACAGCAGGCGCGCAAAUUACCCACUCCUAGAACGGGGAGGUAGUGACGAAAAAUAACAAUACCAGGCGCUUCGCGUCUGGUAAUUGGAAUGAGUACAAUCUAAAUCCCUUAACAAGGAUCCAUUGGAGGGCAAGUCUGGU
rnacentral:rRNA from 1 species